rnacentral:rRNA from 1 species
CCUACGGGUGACAGCAGUGGGGAAUAUUGCACAAUGGGGGAAACCCUGAUGCAGCGACGCCGCGUGAGUGAAGAAGUAUCUCGGUACGUAAAGCUCUAUCAGCAGGGAAGAAAAUGACGGUACCUGACUAAGAAGCCCCGGCUAACUACGUGCCAGCAGCCGCGGUAAUACGUAGGGGGCAAGCGUUAUCCGGAUUUACUGGGUGUAAAGGGAGCGUAGACGGCAGAACAAGUCUGGUGUGAAAUCCCGGGGCUUAACCCGGGAACUGCUUUGGAAACUGUGCGGCUGGAGUGCAGGAGGGGUAAGCGGAAUUCCUAGUGUAGCGGUGAAAUGCGUAGAGAUUAGGAGGAACACCGGUGGCGAAGGCGGCUUACUGGACUGUAACUGACGUUGAGGCGCGAAAGCGUGGGGAGCAAACAGGAUCAGAUACCCCAGUAGUC